UACAGAGGUCUCAAGCGUUUGUUCGGAUUCAUUGGGCGUAAAGGGUGCGUAGGUGGCGCUGUAAGUCGGGUGUGAAAUUUCGGAGCUUAACUCCGAAACUGCAUUCGAUACUGCGGUGCUCGAGGACUGGAGAGGAGACUGGAAUUCAUGGUGUAGCAGUGAAAUGCGUAGAGAUCAUGAGGAAGACCAGUGGCGAAGGCGGGUCUCUGGACAGUUCCUGACACUGAGGCACGAAGGCCAGGGGAGCAAACGGG
rnacentral:rRNA from 1 species